rnacentral:rRNA from 1 species
GAUGAACGCUGGCGGCGUGCCUAAUACAUGCAAGUCGAGCGAACAGAUGAGGAGCUUGCUCCACUGACGUUAGCGGCGGACGGGUGAGUAACACGUGGAUAACCUACCUAUAAGACUGGGAUAACUUCGGGAAACCGGAGCUAAUACCGGAUAAUAUAUUGAACCACAUGGUUCAAUAGUGAAAGACGGUUUUGCUGUCACUUAUAGAUGGAUCCGCGCCGCAUUAGCUAGUUGGUAAGGUAACGGCUUACCAAGGCAACGAUGCGUAGCCGACCUGAGAGGGUGAUCAGCCACACUGGAACUGAGACACGGUCCAGACUCCUACGGGAGGCAGCAGUAGGGAAUCUUCCGCAAUGGGCGAAAGCCUGACGGAGCAACGGCGCGUGAGUGAUGAAGGUCUUCGGAGCGUAAAACUCUGUUAUUAGGGAAGAACAAAUGUGUAAGUAACUAUGCACGUCUUGACGGUACCUAAUCAGAAAGCCACGGCUAACUACGUG